rnacentral:rRNA from 1 species
ACGAACGCUGGCGGCGUGCCUAAUACAUGCAAGUUGAGCGCUGAAGGUUGGUACUUGUACCAACUGGAUGAGCAGCGAACGGGUGAGUAACGCGUGGGGAAUCUGCCUUUGAGCGGGGGACAACAUUUGGAAACGAAUGCUAAUACCGCAUAAAAACUUUAAACACAAGUUUUAAGUUUGAAAGAUGCAAUUGCAUCACUCAAAGAUGAUCCCGCGUUGUAUUAGCUAGUUGGUGAGGUAAAGGCUCACCAAGGCGAUGAUACAUAGCCGACCUGAGAGGGUGAUCGGCCACAUUGGGACUGAGACACGGCCCAAACUCCUACGGGAGGCAGCAGUAGGAAAUCUUCGGCAAUGGACGAAAGUCUGACCGAGCAACGCCGCGUGAGUGAAGAAGGGUUUCGGAUCGUAAAACUCUGUUGGUAGAGAAGAACGUUGGUGAGAGUGGAAAGCUCAUCAAGUGACGGUAACUACCCAGAAAGGGACGGCUAACUACGUG